rnacentral:snoRNA from 1 species
UUUCUGUGAUGAUCUUUAAUAUAAUUGACAAGCAUAUGUCUGAAUAUAAAAUGUAAUUGAUGAUAUUCUAUACAAUCUGAGAAA